CACGCAUCCCGUUCUUGCUUGCACACACCGCGCUUCUGCCGUCCUUGUCUUCCUCGCCUUCUCCAUCGGUACCACCCCGGUCCUGCUCCUCUUUCUCUGGCCUUUGGCAGCUCCCAUGAAACCCUAAUCCCCAAAACCCUCACCCGAACCAACACUGCCGCCACCGCCAUGUCGCCCCCUCUGCAGGCGCCCGACUACAAGCACAUCACGGAUGAGUCCCUUCGCGAAUGGAAGGGCCAGUCCGCCGGCGCCUUCCGCAUCCCUGAUCCGGUCCCCAUGGCGCGCUUCCUCUACGAGCUCUGCUGGGCGAUUGUGCUGGGCGACUUGCCGCCCCAGAAGAGCCGAGUGGCACUGGAGUCGGUGGUGUUCGUGGAGGAGGCACGGCGGGAGGAGGAGCUCGGCUCCGUGCUCGUUGAUAUCAUUGCCCACCUAGGACAGGACAUUACAAUAUCUGGUGAAUAUCGCAGCCGUCUUGUUAAAAUGACUAAGUCAUUUGUGGAGUCGUUGAUUACUGUGCCUAAGCUUCUGCAAGAGCGAUGUGAAGAAGAUUUCCUUUGGGAAGUUGAGCAAAGUAAGCUAAAAGGCCAGGAUUUAAAAUCCAAGGAGGUUAGGGUCAACACACGGCUUCUUUACCAGCAAACUAAAUUCAACCUCUUACGGGAGGAAAGUGAGGGCUAUGCCAAGUUGGUGACACUCCUUUGUCAAGUUGGUUCAGAUCUGGCUUGCCAGAAUUCUUCUUCGGUUACGAUCAGCAUUAUAAAGUCAUUGAUUGGCCAUUUUGAUCUGGACCCAAAUCGUGUAUUUGAUAUUGUGUUGGAAUGCUUUGAACUCUACCAAGAUAGUAACAUCUUUAAUCAGCUCAUACCUCUUUUCCCAAAGUCCCAUGCUGCCCAAAUUUUGGGGUUCAAAUUCCAGUACUAUCAACGAUUGGAUGUCAACAGCCCUGUUCCUUCUGGCCUUUUCAGAACAGCAGCUUUAUUGAUCAAAUCUGGAUUCAUCGACCUUGAUAAUGUCUAUUCUCACUUGCUUCCAAAUGACGACGAGGCGUUUGAGCAUUUUGAUUCUUUCAUUUCAAGAAGAAUUGAUGAGGCUAAUAAAAUUGGCAAAAUCAACCUUGCUGCUACUGGGAAGGACCUUAUGGAUGACGAGAAACAAGAAAUUACUAUUGAUAUGUAUACCGCAUUGGAGAUGGAAAACGAUAUAGUUGGGGAGCGAGCCCCUGAGAUGGAAAAGAACCAGAAACUUGGGCUACUUCUUGGUUUUCUCUCUGUGCAUGACUGGUAUCAUGCACAACUACUAUUUGAGCGUCUUGGGCACCUAAAUCCUGUUGAGCACAUUGAAAUCUGUGAUGGAUUAUUUAGAAUGAUUGAAAAGACAAUGUCUUCCGCAUAUCAUAUAGUUUGUCACCUGUAUUAUUACCUGCCUCCUAGAAAUGAUGCUGACCAGACAGGCACAUCUGCUGUGUCUGUAAGUUCAUUUGAUCUGCUGAAGGAGUUUUUCCAAAUGCUCACCGCUUGUGGACCAUAUCUUCAUCGUGAUACUCAAUUAUUUCAAAAGGUUUGCAGAGUAUUAAAAGCGUACUACCACUCAUCAAAAGAGUCAACCCGUGUAGCGAAUGUAGUUUCACCAGAAUCUCGAAUCGAGGAAGCACUUGGGUCGUGCUUGUUCCCUUCGUUGCAGCUUAUCCCUGCUAAUCCUGCUGUUGAUAUGGAGAUAUGGGGGGUUCUUUCCCUUCUUCCAUAUGAGGCCCGCUAUCGUCUGUAUGGUGAAUGGGAAAAGGAGACCGAACAAAACCCAAUUGUCCUUGCUGCAAGGCAAACUGCAAAGCUGGACACCAGAAGGCUCCUAAAACGGUUGGCUAAGGAAAACCUGAAGCCACUUGGACGCAUGGUGGCUAAACUUGCCCAUGCGAAUCCUAUGAUUGUGCUUCGGACAAUUGUCCAACAGGUUGAAGCAUACAGGGAUAUGAUUACACCAGUUGUGGAUGCUUUUAAGUACUUGACUCAGCUGGAGUAUGACAUCUUGCAAUAUAUUGUCAUUGAACGCUUGGCCCAAGGUGGGCGUGCAAAACUUAAAGAUGAUGGACUUAAUCUCUCAGAUUGGCUUCAAUGUCUUGCAUCCUUUUGGGGGCACCUGUGCAAGAAGCAUAAUGCUGUGGAACUGAAAAGCCUUUUGCAGUAUCUUGUUAAUCAACUGAAGAAGGGUGUGGGCAUUGAACUUGUUGUCCUGGAGGAGCUCAUUCAGCAAAUGGCGAAUGUGCAGUACACCGAGAACAUGACAGAGGAACAGGUUGAUGCUAUGGCAGGAAGUGAGACUUUGCGGCAGCAAGCUUCACUGUUCGGAGCAACAAGAAACUAUAAGGUGUUGAGUAAGUCCACAAACAGGCUAAGGGAUUCGUUGCUUCCAAAAGAUGAGCCCAAACUUGCAGUUCCUAUGUUACUGCUUAUUGCCCAGCAUCGAUCCAAGAUCAUAAUAAACGCUGAUGCCACCUAUAUCAAAAUGGUCAGUGAGCAGUUUGAUAGAUGCCAUGGGAUACUUCUUCAGUAUGUUGAGUUUCUUUCAAGCGCCGUAACUCCAACUGCCUAUGCUCAACUAAUACCUCCUUUGCAAGAUCUUGUCCAUAAAUACCACAUUGAGCCAGAGGUUGCUUUCCUUAUAUACCGCCCAGUGAUGCGGCUUUUUAAGAGCACUAAUGGAGGUGACACUUGUUGGCCUCUUGAUGAUAACGAGGAAGGAGAAUCUGUAUCAUCUGAUGAUCUUAUCUUACAUCUUGACUCGUUUCAGGAACCAAUCAUGUGGUCAGAUCUUCUUAACGCAGUCCAGUCAAUUUUGCCAGCAAAAGCUUGGAACAGUCUUUCACCAGACCUAUAUGCUGCUUUCUGGGGCUUAACACUCUAUGAUCUUCACUUUCCAAAAGACCGUUAUGAUACAGAAAUCAAGAAGCUGCACGAGAAUCUCAAACAAUUGGAGGACAACUCAGAUAAUUCUAGCAUUGCAAUUUCAAGACGUAAGAAGGACAAGGAGAGAAUCCAAGAUUUACUUGACAGACUGAACAGUGAAUCUCAGAAGCACCAGCAGCACGUUGCAUCUGUGGUCCAAAGGUUAGCUCGUGAAAAGGAUAAGUGGUUGAGCUCCAGUCCGGAUGCAAUGAAAAUCAACAUGGAAUUCUUGCAGCGCUGCAUAUUCCCACGAUGUGUUUUUAGUAUGCAAGAUGCAGUGUAUUGUGCUACAUUUGUCCAAACACUACACUCCCUUGGGACUCCCUUCUUUAACACAGUCAAUCAUAUCGAUGUUCUUGUCUGUAAAACCCUACAGCCAAUGAUAUGCUGUUGCACAGAAUUUGAAGCUGGCAGGCUUGGAAGAUUUUUUCAUGAUACGUUGAAGAUGGCCUACUAUUGGAAGAGUGAUGAAUCUGUCUAUGAGCGUGAAUGUGCGAACAAACCUGGUUUUGCAGUGUACUUCAGAUACCCAAACAGCCAGCGUGUGUCCUACAGUCAGUUUGUUCGGGUUCAUUGGAAGUGGAGUUCAAGAAUCACCAAAGCACUUAAUCAAUGUAUGGAAUCAAAAGAAUACAUGGAAAUUCGAAAUGCCCUUAUUGUCCUUACGAAGAUUUCUAGUGUCUUCCCGGUGAUUCGUAAAAGUGGUGUCAAUCUUGAGAAACGGGUGGCUAAACUAAAAGGGGAUGAAAGAGAAGAUCUUAAAGUUCUAGCCACUGGUGUAGCUGCUGCUUUAGCUGCUCGCAAGAGUUCUUGGCUAUCUGAAGAAGAGUUUGGCGGGGGUCACAUUGAUCUGAAGCCAGCAACAGCAAGAUCUGUGCUUGGAAACCAGUCAGCAGAUCUCUCGAUGGCAAAAGAUCAAAAUGCCCGUGCAAAGUCUGUAGAGAAUAGGCAUGAAAGGUCAGAGGGUGCUAUGAAGCCUGACGUUCAGCAAAAGAAGAGCACUGUGGCUUCAAAUGGAUCUGAUAUUCUAAUACAAUCUUCCUCCGUACAAGGGAAAUCUUCAGUGGUUGCACGUGCAAUGGAUGAGCCUCCAAAACCUGUGUCUGAUGAGGGGGUUAAAGUUUCUACAAAAUCUACUUCAGAAUUUGAGACAAGGGCAACACAAAAGCGUGCUGGCAAUGCUGGGAAGGUAAUGAAGCAUGAUGUUGCAAAGGAAGAUGCAAAAGCUGGGAAACCUACAAGCUGGAAUGUAAAUCAACAAGUCUCCACUGUUGAUAGAGAAGUGUCUCAUGCAGCUGAUGCUGCCCAAGAAACCAGUACCACUAUUAGCAAUGGUAACUUGCAUCCAGCGCCGCAUAAGGUUUCAUCAUCUUCUCAAAGAAAUGCAGUUACACAUAAUGGAGCAGCCAAUCCCUCUGUUGAGUCUACUGAUAUGAUUGACUCUCCUGUGAGACAGCAAAAAAGACCGCCGGUUGAGGAGCAAGAUAGAUCAGGUAAACGGAGGAAGGGAGAAAAUGAACCCGAUUUGAGUGAACACCAUGUAGACAAGGAAAAGAGUUUGGACUCACGUGGUGGAGAUAAGUUUCGUUCAGUGGAUCAUGAGAAGAGUGCUAAUGAGGAACAAAAUUUAAGAGCGGGCAAAAUAAAAGAAAAAUCUGAUGAUAAAUAUGACAGAGAUCCUAGGGAAAAAUUAGAUCGGGGUGAAAGGCGUCGUGGGGAAGAUGCCAUUGAGAGAUCAACAGAUAGAUUGUCGGACAGGAGAGAACGUUCCAUUGAAAGGAUGCAAGAGAGAGGUACAGAUAAAGCCCUUGAAAAAGGUAGAGAGGAUAGAAAUAAGGAUGAGAGGAAUAAAGUUAAAUAUGCUGAACCUUCGGUGGACCGGACACAUUCUUCUGAUGAACGAUUCCGAGGGCAAAGUUUGCCACCGCCCCCACCUCUUCCCGCAAGUUUUGUACCCCAAUCAGUUGGCGCCAACCGACGUGAAGAAGAUGCUGACCGAAGGGGUGGGAGCUCCAGGCAUGUUCAAAGGUCAUCUCCUAGGCACGAUGAGAAAGAAAGGAGGCAGUCAGAGGAGAAUAUUUCGUCAUUUCAGGAUGAUGGGAAGCACAGAAGAGAGGAAGAUAUUCGUGAUAGAAAGCGUGAGGACAGGGAUACUUUAUCAAACAAGGUAGAUGACAGGGAUAGGGAAAAGGGGACUUCUUUGAAAGAAGACAGUGAUCCUAGUAAUGUUUCUAAACGGAGAAAGAUCAAGCGAGAACAGACUUUAGAAGCUGGGGAAUAUGCACCUUCUGCUCCACAGCCUCCCUCCCAUGGAUCUGGCAGCUCACAAUUGUCUGACAUACGAGAAAGAGAAAGGAAAGGGGUAAUUUCACAGCAUCGUAUUUCACACGCUGAUGACCUUCCUAGGACACAUGGCAAGGACAUGACAAGCAAGUCAAGUCGUCGAGAGUCUGACCAAUAGGAAUAAGGUGAAAAAUCAUACCCAGAACCAUACCAUUCUGAGCUGUUGGGCGGUACAUCAUCAUCAUCCACUGGCUGCAGUAGCACUUGAUGUUUGGAGAGUGGGUCAUGAUCAUAAGAGCACCUGCGGAGGCAACAGAGAAUGCACGAGAGGGAAUGGGAAGAGGAAAAGCGACCAAGAACUGAAACGAAAAGGAAGCACCGAAAAUAGCUGAUCAAUGUUGACAUGGAUUCAGUUGAGCCUCAUAAUUUUUCUCCAAGCACAGUAGUGGAUGCACUUGAAUUUCAUGCUUUCGUGUUGUGAGGAAACAUACUUCAGCAUAUAGCUAAGCAGAUCGUUUAUUAGUGUACUGUGCCAGUUGCGGGAUGUGGCCUUUCCUGUCGAGCUCACCAAUGCGAAUUUAACAGAUGGGAGAUGAGUCAUGUUUAGCUUCAUACAUUUUGUGCUGUAAACAAUGUACAAUGUGUCAUAAUGAUUUGUACUGUGAACAUAGAUGGAUGGCUCACCAUCCGGGUAUUAUGUAUUUUAUUACUAACUGCUAAGUUGUUUGGUGUAGGAAGCAUCACCAUUUUUUUGCAUUGUGUAGGAAUAAUGUUAGGGAUGCAGCAUAAUUGAAAUGUACAUAUUUUGGCCAGAAUUUUUGCCUA